AUGAACGCUGCGGCAGGCUAACACAUGCAAGUCGAGCGGCAGCGGGAAAGUAGCUUGCUACUUUUGCCGGCGAGCGGCGGACGGGUGAGUAAUGCCUGGGAAAUUGCCCAGUCGAGGGGAUAACAGUUGGAAACGACUGCUAAUACCGCAUACGCCCUACGGGGAAAGCAGGGGACCUUCGGGCCUUGCGCGAUUGGAUAUGCCCAGGUGGGAUUAGCUAGUUGGUGAGGUAAUGGCUCACCAAGGCGACGAUCCCUAGCUGGUCUGAGAGGAUGAUCAGCCACACUGGAACUGAGACACGGUCCAGACUCCUACGGGAGGCAGCAGUGGGGAAUAUUGCACAAUGGGGGAAACCCUGAUGCAGCCAUGCCGCGUGUGUGAAGAAGGCCUUCGGGUUGUAAAGCACUUUCAGCGAGGAGGAAAGGUUGUUGGCUAAUACCCAACAGCUGUGACGUUACUCGCAGAAGAAGCACCGGCUAACUCCGUG
rnacentral:rRNA from 1 species